rnacentral:rRNA from 1 species
CCUACGGGGGGCAGCAGUAGGGAAUUUUCGUCAAUGGGCGCAAGCCUGAACGAGCAAUGCCGCGUGAACGAGGAAGGUCUUCGGAUCGUAAAGUUCUGUUGAAGGGGAAAAAGAGCGGAGAGAGGAAAUGCUUUCUGAUUGAUAUUACCCUUCGAGGAAGUCACGGCUAACUACGUGCCAGCAGCCGCGGUAAUACGUAGGUGGCUAGCGUUAUCCGGAAUGAUUGGGCGUAAAGGGUGCGUAGGCGGCCUGCUAAGUCUGGAGUGAAAGGUACCGGCUCAACCGGUACAGGCUCUGGAAACUGGGGGGCGAGAGAGCAGGAGAGGGGCGUGGAAAUCCAUGGGUAGGGGUAAAAUGGGGAG